GACGAACGCUGGCGGCGUGCUUAACACAUGCAAGUCGAACGAAGUGGCGAACGGGUGAGUAACGCGUAAUCAACCUGCCCCUCAGAGGGGGACAACAGUCGGAAACGACUGCUAAUACUGCAUACUGAAGGAGGGGGUUGCGUCGGAUUAGCUAGGUGGAGGGGUAACGGCCCACCAAGGCGAUGAUCAGUAUCCGGACGGGGAGGAUGGACGGCCACAUUGAGACUGGGGACCGGCACAGUGUCCCACGGGAAGGGGCCAUAGGGAAUUGUCCGGAAUGGGGGAAGGUCUGACGACACAACGCCGAGUGAGUGAGGACGGACUUCGGGUUGUGAAGCUCUGUUAAUCGGUACGCGGUACCGGAAUAGGAAGCACCGGCUAACUACGUGCCAGCAGCCGCGGUAAUAC
rnacentral:rRNA from 1 species